rnacentral:rRNA from 1 species
AACGAACGCUGGCGGCAGGCCUAACACAUGCAAGUCGAGCGAGGACUUCGGUCCUAGCGGCGGACGGGUGAGUAACGCGUGGGAACGUGCCCUUUGCUUCGGAAUAGCCCUGGGAAACUGGGAGUAAUACCGGAUGAGCCCUUUGGGGGAAAGAUUUAUCGGCGAAGGAUCGGCCCGCGUUGGAUUAGGUAGUUGGUGGGGUAAUGGCCUACCAAGCCGACGAUCCAUAGCUGGUUUGAGAGGAUGAUCAGCCACACUGGGACUGAGACACGGCCCAGACUCCGACGGGAGGCAGCAGUGGGGAAUCUGAGACAAUGGGGGAAACCCUGAGCUAGCCAUGCCGCGUGAGCGAUGAAGGCCUUAGGGUUGUAAAGCUCUUUCAGCUGGGAAGAUAAUGACGGUACCAGCAGAAGAAGCCCCGGCUAACUCCGG